CGUUGUGCUAUCGCUCCAGCACCAUCUGUCACCCCAUUGAUUGCCAUGUUGAUUCGGCUGAUCUGGCUGGCUACGCGGGUGUCCCCUUCCUCCCUCACCACUCCAUGUGCAUCCCUCCCGAAGCUGCGCUCUCAGUUGAAGAGGAUGGCCUUCCCCGAAUAGAGACGGACCCGUCUUCAGUCGAGGGUAUACGAGUAGCUGCGCUCCCCUGCUAGAACCUCCAAACAAGCUCUCAAAAUAAAUAAAUAAAUACAGCAUUUUUUACAUAAAGAUUCAAUAAGUAUCUCUGAGAUAGAGUAAAGCCAAUU
rnacentral:snRNA from 1 species